rnacentral:rRNA from 1 species
GUCCGAGCGGCGAACGGGUGAGUAACACGUGGGUGAUCUGCCCUGCACUCUGGGAUAAGCUUGGGAAACUGGGUCUAAUACCGGAUAUGACCACAGCAUGCAUGUGUUGUGGUGGAAAGAUUUAUCGGUGCAGGAUGGGCCCGCGGCCUAUCAGCUUGUUGGUGGGGUAAUGGCCUACCAAGGCGACGACGGGUAGCCGACCUGAGAGGGUGACCGGCCACACUGGGACUGAGACACGGCCCAGACUCCUACGGGAGGCAGCAGUGGGGAAUAUUGCACAAUGGGCGGAAGCCUGAUGCAGCGACGCCGCGUGAGGGAUGAAGGCCUUCGGGUUGUAAACCUCUUUCAGCAGGGACGAAGCGUGAGUGACGGUACCUGCAGAAGAAGCACCGGCUAACUACGUGCCAGCAGCCGCGGUAAUACGUAGGGUGCGAGCGUUGUCCGGAAUUACUGGGCGUAAAGAGUUCGUAGGCGGUUUGUCGCGUCGUUUGUGAAAACCCGGGGCUCAACUUCGGGCUUGCAGGCGAUACGGGCAGACUUGAGUGUUUCAGGGGAGACUGGAAUUCCUGGUGUAGCGGUGAAAAUGCGCAGAUAUCAGGAGGAACACCGGUGGCGAAGGCGGGUCUCUGGGAAACAACUGACGCUGAGGAACGAAAGCGUGGGUAGCAAACAGGAUUAGAUACCUGGUAGUCCGCCCGUAAACGUGGGCCCUAGGUGUGGGUUC